rnacentral:lncRNA from 1 species
GAGAAAAUAUUUCCCACAUUUAAAAAUGUAUACAAAGGUAAGGUAGUGAAAGUGUUACCAUCGAUACCACAACCACUACUAAACAACGUCUAACAUCUUUUCAGGUCUAACAUCCUGGGUCUAUGAUUCUCUAUCUGUAACACAGCACAGAACUGAUGCACUGGAUGAUGAAUUGGGGAACCAUUCAAUGUCAAACAAGGCAGAACAGCAGACUGGAGAGUGACCUUUAGUUAACUAGAAAAUGACAGCAGCUAGGCCAUGCCUUGAACAAUCAAGCUUAUGAAUGUUUUUAGUCUGCAUUGAAUACGUACUGAUCUACCUAGGAACCUGAUGCAAUAGGAGAAGAGACAAACUGCUAAAUAUGAAAGAGGAUAAAAGAACUGAGAACUACAUAAUGAAUUGCAGAGAGGAGUAUGGUGGAGAAUUAUAGUGUGCCUUGCAUCCGGAGACUAAAUCCCAGUGAAAACUUCUGAGGAGACAUGGCAAAUACUAGAGGGAGGAAGAAGUCAUGAACAACUUGCUGGAUGAGAAAAGAAGAAGGACUGUGGAGAGGAGUCAAGGUCUGCAGUCAGAGCUGGAAAAACAGCAAAGAAUAUAAAGUCCAAAGAGCAAGGCAAGAGAGAAAUGAGACACUGAAUAUUAAGGUCAUAUCAAGAAAGUCAGUAACAGGUUGGAAUCACAUGUGAAGAAGACUGAUGGGAAAAGUGCAGAUAUAAGGCUUGUGAG